UUAGCUCAGUUGGUAGAGCAGUUGACUUUUAAUCAAUUGGUCGCAGGUUCGAAUCCUGCA
rnacentral:tRNA from 21 species